rnacentral:rRNA from 1 species
AACAGGAGAAAGCUUGCUUUCUUGCUGACGAGCGGCGGACGGGUGAGUAAUGUAUGGGGAUCUGCCCGAUAGAGGGGGAUAACUACUGGAAACGGUGGCUAAUACCGCAUAAUGUCUACGGACCAAAGCAGGGGCUCUUCGGACCUUGCACUAUCGGAUGAACCCAUAUGGGAUUAGCUAGUAGGUGGGGUAAAGGCUCACCUAGGCAACGAUCUCUAGCUGGUCUGAGAGGAUGAUCAGCCACACUGGGACUGAGAGACAGCCCAGACUCCUACGGGAGGCAGCAGUGGGGAAUAUUGCACAAUGGGCGCAAGCCUGAUGCAGCCAUGCCGCGUGUAUGAAGAAGGCCUUAGGGUUGUAAAGUACUUUCAGCGGGGAGGAAGGUGAUAAGGUUAAUACCCUUAUCAAUUGACGUUACCCGCAGAAGAAGCACCGGCUAACUCCGUGCCAGCAGCCGCGGUAAUACGGAGGGUGCAAGCGUUAAUCGGAAUUACUGGGCGUAAAGCGCACGCAGGCGGUCAAUUAAGUCAGAUGUGAAAGCCCCGAGCUUAACUUGGGAAUUGCAUCUGAAAAUGGUUAGCUAGAGUCUUGUAGAGGGGGGUAGAAUUCCAUGUGUAGCGGUGAAAUGCGUAGAGAUGUGGAGGAAUACCGGUGGCGAAGGCGGCCCCCUGGACAAAGAAUGACGCUCAGGUGCGAAAGCGUGGGGAGCAAACAGGAUUAGAUACCCCGGUAGUCCACGCUGUAAACGAUGUCGAUUUAGAGGUUGUGGUCUUGAACCGUGGCUUCUGGAGCUAACGCGCUAAAUCCACCGCCUGGGGAGUACGGCCGCAAGGUUAAAAAUCAAAUGAAUUGACGGGGGCCCGCACAAGCGGUGGAGCAUGUGGUUUAAUUCGAUGCAACGCGAAGAACCUUACCUACUCUUGACAUCCAGCGAAUCCUUUAGAGAUAGAGGAGUGCCUUCGGGAACGCUGAGACAGGUGCUGCAUGGCUGUCGUC